GACGAACGCUGGCGGCGUGCUUAACACAUGCAAGUCGAACGGAAAGGCCCUGCUUUUGUGGGGUGCUCGAGUGGCGAACGGGUGAGUAACACGUGAGUAACCUGCCCUUGACUUUGGGAUAACUUCAGGAAACUGGGGCUAAUACCGGAUAGGAGCUCCUGCUGCAUGGUGGGGGUUGGAAAGUUUCGGCGGUUGGGGAUGGACUCGCGGCUUAUCAGCUUGUUGGUGGGGUAGUGGCUUACCAAGGCUUUGACGGGUAGCCGGCCUGAGAGGGUGACCGGGCACAUUGGGACUGAGAGACGGCCCAGAAUCCUACGGGAGGCAGCAGUGGAGAAUAUUGCACAAUGGGCGGAAGCCUGAUGCGGCAACGCCGCGUGCGGGAUGACGGCCUUCGGGUUGUAAACCGCUUUCGCCUGUGACGAAGCGUGAGUGACGGUAAUGGGUAAAGAAGCACCGGCUAACUACGUG
rnacentral:rRNA from 1 species